rnacentral:rRNA from 1 species
UGGGGAAUAUUGGACAAUGGGCGAAAGCCUGAUCCAGCAAUUCUGCGUGAGUGAGGAAGGACUUCGGUCUGUAAAGCUCUGUUAAUGUGGAAAAAUGGUAGUUGGUCUAAUAGGCCGGCUAUUUGAUGGUACACAUAGAGGAAGCACCGGCUAACUUCGUGCCAGCAGCCGCGGUAAUACGAAGGGUGCAAGCGUUGUUCGGAUUUAUUGGGCGUAAAGCGCGCGUAGGCGGACCUGUAAGUCAGAUGUGAAAUCUCGGUGCUCAACACCGAAACUGCGUCUGAAACUGCGGGUCUUGAAUCUUAGAGGGGGAGUGGGAAUUUCGCAUGUAGGGGUAAAAUCCGUAGAGAUGCGAAGGAACACCAGAGGCGAAGGCGCACUCCUGGACAAGUAUUGACGCUGAGGCGCGAAAGCGUGGGGAUCAAACA